AUGUUUGGAAGAAGGAAAGACAAGGUAUUUUUGGGACAACAAGCAUAUUUUGGACAACAAAGGUAUUUUUGGGACAGCAAGCAUAUUUUGGACAACAAAGGUAUUUUUGGGAAAGCAAGCUCUAAACAAGUUUUUGGGACAGCAAAGGUAUUUUUGGGACAGCAAGCUCUAAACAAGUUUUUGGGACAGCAAACAACUCAACUCAAAUUAGAGCAAACAGUAGAUAGAGAAGAGGAAAAGAGUAUACCUAUCGGAGCCUCUCCGACGGGGCUUCUAUCAAAAAUUGGUUAUUUGGAGCAUUUUUUGACCAACAAAAAUGCAAUAAAAUGGGCUUGA